rnacentral:sRNA from 1 species
CACGCGAUUCCACGCUGUCCUCUCUUGA